rnacentral:rRNA from 1 species
CUCUAGGACCAUACUACCCUGAAUGUGCGAGUCUGAUCAAUCUCAUGGGAAGCUGGAAGCUAAGCAGGGCUGGGCCUAGUUAGUACUUGCCUUAUGAAUCUCUCUUCUCAUAUUCAAAAAGUUGUUUUAAAUA